GACGAACCGAGCAAACGUUAUUCGGAAUCACUGGGCUUAAAGGGCGCGUAGGCGGGCAUCCAAGUCCGUGGUGAAAUCCGGCAGCUCAACUGUCGAACUGCCGCGGAUACUGGGUGUCUCGAGGGAGGUAGGGGCGUGCGGAACUAUUGGUGGAGCGGUGAAAUGCGUUGAUAUCAAUAGGAACUCCGGUGGCGAAGGCGGCACGCUGGACCUCUUCUGACGCUGAGGCGCGAAAGCCAGGGGAGCGAACGGG
rnacentral:rRNA from 1 species